rnacentral:rRNA from 1 species
GUAGGUGGCAAGCGUUGUCCGGGAAUUAUUGGGGCGUAAAGCGCGCGCAGGCGGUCCUUUAAGUCUGACGUGAAAGCCCACGGGCUCAACCGUGGGAGGGUCAUUGGAAACUGGGGGACUUGAGUGCAGAAGAGGAGAGUGGAAUUCCACGUGUAGCGGUGAAAUGCGUAGAGAUGUGGAGGAACACCAGUGGCGAAGGCGACUCUCUGGUCUGUAACUGACGCUGAGGCGCGAAAGCGUGGGGAGCGAACAGGAUUAGAUACCCUGGUAGUCCACGCCGUAAACGAUGAGUGCUAAGUGUUAGAGGGUUUCCGCCCUUUAGUGCUGCAGCUAACGCAUUAAGCACUCCGCCUGGGGAGUACGGUCGCAAGACUG